AGUCGAACGACAUAGUGGCAGACGGGUGAGUAACGCGUGGGAACGUACCCUUCACUACGGAAUAGCUUCUGGAAACGGAAGGUAAUACCGUAUACGCCCUCCGGGGGAAAGAUUUAUCGGUGAAGGAUCGGCCCGCGUUAGAUUAGUUUGUUGGUGGGGUAAUGGCCUACCAAGACUACGAUCUAUAGCUGGUCUGAGAGGAUGAUCAGCCACACUGGGACUGAGACACGGCCCAGACUCCUACGGGAGGCAGCAGUGGGGAAUCUUGCACAAUGGGCGAAAGCCUGAUGCAGCCAUGCCGCGUGAAUGAUGAAGGCCUUAGGGUUGUAAAAUUCUUUCGCCAGGGAUGAUAAUGACAGUACCUGGUAAAGAAGCCCCGGCUAACUUCGUGCCAGCAGCCGCGGUAAUACGAAGGGGGCUAGCGUUGUUCGGAAUUACUGGGCGUAAAGCGCGCGUAGGCGGGCUAUUAAGCCAGAUGUGAAAGCCCGGGGCUCAACCUCGGAAUUGCAUUUGGAACUGGUAGCCUAGAGACCAGGAGAGGUUAGCGGAAUACCGAGUGUAGAGGUGAAAUUCGUAGAUAUUCGGUGGAACACCAGUGGCGAAGGCGGCUAACUGGACUGGUACUGACGCUGAGGCGCGAAAGUGUGGGGAGCAAACAGGAUUAGAUACCCUGGUAGUCCACACCGUAAACGAUGAAUGCUAGUUGUCUGCGCGCAUGCGUGCAGGUGACGCAGCUAACGCAUUAAGCAUUCCGCCUGGGGAGUACGGCCGCAAGGUUAAAACUCAAAGAAAUUGACGGGGGCCCGCACAAGCGGUGGAGCAUGUGUUUAAUUCGAAGCAACGCGCAGACCUUACCCGCGUUUGACAUGCCCUGUUUGGUUACCAGAGAUGGUUUCCUUCAUUUAGUUGGCAGGUGCACAGGUGCUGCAUGACUGUCGUCAGCUCGUGUCGUGAGAUGUUGGUUAGUCCCGCACGAGCGCACCCUUAUCUUAGUGCAGCACGUUGGUGAUCACUCUAGAACUGCGUGCUAGCGGAGAGGCGGGAUGACGUCAGUCUCAUGCUUACCCGCGGGCUACCACGUGCUACGAUGCAUGACAUUGGAUUAUUCCAAAAAUGCUGUUCUCAGUUCGAUGUUCUCUCUGCCACUCAGGGCCCGUGAGAUUGAAUCGCCUAUAAAUAUCCGUGGGAUCAACU
rnacentral:rRNA from 1 species